UGGGGAAUAUUGGACAAUGGGCGAAAGCCUGAUCCAGCAAUGCCGCGUGAGUGAUGAAGGCCUUAGGGUUGUAAAGCUCUUUUACCAGGGAGGAUAAUGACAGUACCUGGAGAAUAAGCUCCGGCUAACGCCGUGCCAGCAGCCGCGGUAAUACGGAGGGGGCUAGCGUUGUUCGGAAUUACUGGGCGUAAAGCGUACGUAGGCGGCUUUGUAAGUUAGAGGUGAAAGCCCAGAGCUCAACUCUGGAAUUGCCUUUAAGACUGCAUCGCUUGAAUCGUAGAGAGGUUAGUGGAAUUCCGAGUGUAGAGGUGAAAUUCGUAGAUAUUCGGAAGAACACCAGUGGCGAAGGCGACUAACUGGACACGUAUUGACGCUGAGGUACGAAAGCGUGGGGAGCAAA
rnacentral:rRNA from 1 species